rnacentral:rRNA from 1 species
UACGAAGGGGGCUAGCGUUGUUCGGAUUUACUGGGCGUAAAGCGCACGUAGGCGGAUCGUUAAGUGAGGGGUGAAAUCCCAGGGCUCAACCCUGGAACUGCCUUUCAUACUGGCGAUCUUGAGUCCGGAAGAGGUGAGUGGAACUCCUAGUGUAGAGGUGGAAUUCGUAGAUAUUAGGAAGAACACCAGUGGCGAAGGCGGCUCACUGGUCCGGUACUGACGCUGGGGUGCGAAAGCGUGGGGAGCAAACAGG